UUAGUGAAUUCGAAAAUGUGUCCAGUGCCUAGCCAGUGUGUCUGCUGGGCAGUCAAGGUCAUGAAAUACGUACAUGCUGGUUUCUAGCUCCGAAGGCUAAUUUUGCAUGAAUUUUAAAGGUGCCUCCACUCAACUGAAUUUCUGCAAAAAACCGCGUGGAUGACCCUAGGAUUCUUCGGUGUCGGUCAAAUAUCUGGUGUAGACGUUGUGUUAGCUGUGAGGACGGACAGUGCCCCCACCCCGGCAGCCAGUAGCCGAUUUGUGAAAAACUGUAGUGUGCCCCCUUAAGUCAUAGCUUAUGGCCAGUGCAUUUUAUGCAAGUGUCCCUUCUUUUCACACAGUUCAACGG